GAGAUUCCGUGCUUCUACACUCUAAUAUUACCGUAUUACAUGAAAAUAACAUCAUUUUGUGGACAUUUGGAGCUGAAAACUACUGGAUAGCUAAAUCUAUAAGAAAUAAAGAAAUCUUUUCUGCUUUUAAUGGUACUGAUGGGAGAUUCAGAGACAGACUGAAGCUGGAUCAUCAAACUGGAUCUCUGACCAUCACAAACAUCACAACUGAACAUGCUGGAGUUUAUCAACUAGAGAUAAGGGGAGCGAAACAUUCGCUGCGAACAUUCAAUGUUUCUGUCUAUGCUUGUCUGUCUGUUCCAGUCAUCUUCAGUAACUCUUCACAAUGUUCUUCAUCAUCAUCAAAUUGUUCAUUUGUGUGUUCAGCUGUGAAUGUGAGUCAUGUGACUCUCUCCUGGUACAAAGGAAACAGUUUAUUGUCCAGCAUCAGUGUGUCUGAUCUCAGCAUCAGUCUCUCUCUACCUCUGGAGGUGGAAUAUCAGGAUAAAAACACCUACAGCUGUGUGCUGAACAAUCCCAUCAGCAACCAGACUCAACAUCUGGACAUCACUCAACUCUGUCACACCUCAUGUUCAGAACCAGACCCUAACUCUACUUUACAACAAGAUUCACCCCUAAAAGUGCUGAUUUCUGCUGCUGCUGGAUCUCUGUUGAUUGUUGCAGUCAUUGGGAUCUUCUGCAUCUGCAGGAAAUGUAAAAAAACUGAUCAAGAAG